CUUUCCUUGAUGACGACUGGCGCACGGGUGAGUAACGCGUAUCCAACCUUCCCAUAACUACGGGAUAACCCGUUGAAAGACGGCCUAAUACCGUAUGAUAUCGUUUGCUGACAUCAAAUAACGAUUAAAGGUUUAGCGGUUAUGGAUGGGGAUGCGUCUGAUUAGCUUGUUGGUGGGGUAACGGCCCACCAAGGCUACGAUCAGUAGGGGUUCUGAGAGGAAGGUCCCCCACAUUGGAACUGAGACACGGUCCAAACUCCUACGGGAGGCAGCAGCC
rnacentral:rRNA from 1 species